CCACAGCUUCCUCUCCACCUCUUUCUUUGCCUCUUCCUCUGCUGUCGGUGGCGCCGCCUGGGAAAAAAAGAUCCGUCACUCCUCUACCCCUCGAAGGCCCAAUGGCUUCUCUGUCUUGGUCACUGGUGCUGCUGGGUUUGUUGGAUCACACUGCUGUCUUGCCUUGAAAAAGAGAGGAGACGGGGUUCUUGGGUUGGAUAAUUUCAACAGCUAUUACGACCCAUCAUUGAAAAGGGACAGACAGAAACUUCUGCUCAAACACCAAG
rnacentral:misc_RNA from 1 species